rnacentral:rRNA from 1 species
UCUUAAUUAAAGAUAUUGAAUUUAACUUUUAAGUGAAAAGGCUUAAAUAAUCUGAAGGGACGAUAAGACCCUAUAAAACUUUAUAUUUAAAGGUAUAAAUUAUUUUUAUUUAUAUGUUGGUAUCUAAAAGUAUUUGGUUGGGGCGACAAGGGCAGAAUAUUAAGUAACUGUCUUUUUUUUUGACAAUAAUAUUUGGUUUAAUGAUCCUAAAAAGGAUUAAAGAUUAAGUUACUUUAGGGAUAACAGCGUAAUUUUCUUUGAGAGUUCUUAUCGACAGGAAAGUUUGCGACCUCGAUGUUGAAUUAAAGGUUCUUUAUAGAGUAGAGACUAUAAUAGAAGGU